rnacentral:tRNA from 2 species
CGGGGCGUAGCUUAGCUUGGUAGAGCGCACGCUUCGGGAGCGUGAGGUCGCUGGUUCGAAUCCAGUCGCCCCGA